rnacentral:lncRNA from 1 species
CAGUUCAUUUUGCAGUACUUUACGUUUCACCUGACUUUAGUUGUCUGAUUUUUGCAGUUUAUGUUUGGACAAGUAUCAAAUUGCAUGUUACUUUAUGGUUUCACACGUGAAUCUCAAGGUGCUGAUACUGACGAAUUCUCCUAAAGCAGCGUUGGUACUUGCAAAUUAAUGGUUUCAUCGGAGCAGAGCCAACACUCCAACAGCACCAUAUGGGGAUUUUUUUUUUUAUUGGCGACUCUGUAGACUGUGCUAUCUAGUCUACAUAUUUUUGCAGCCAAGUGAAAGCCUUGAGCUUGUUAUGAACAGACAGAUAUUUUUUGAUGACCCGACAGCUGACCGACUGACCUGCUCGCGAGCUGAACAUUGUUUCCAACUCCAUAAUGUCAUGUACACACGACCUGUCCGACUUGAUUAUGAACUAUCACCAAACUUGUUUUUCGUUUAACCUGGUUUUCUUGCAAAUAACACAAUUAUAGACAAAAUGUGAUGGUGUGAGUUUGAAAAACAAAGAUGACGAAAUUUGUUUCCUGUGCAAAUAUAUUAACUGCACAUUGUGCUAGUUGCAUGAAAAGAAAAUGCGAGAAAGAUACCUGAAAAUGAUUAUAACAGAAAAAGGAAAUCUCAUUUGUACUUUGGUUGCUCAUUGUUCUCUCUGACCGACACACACGCACAUCAACAGAAUUGAAAUCCCAACUCUGGUCCGUUCUGAUGGCUAGCUUGAUAUGAGGCGGAAAUCCAGUCCUUCAAGUCAUGGUCCCAAGUCUUAAAUAAAUAACCUGAAAAAAACUGUUGGCAGGAUUCACAUGGCCUCCUUGUGGGAUCUAGAGGUGAUUACUACUUGAUUAGAUUAAGCCCGACAACCAAGGUUAGAUCUAUGCAGCGUUCCUAGUUAAAUUUUCUCACAAGAGUCAAUACUUGCUGUUUAGGUUCCCACUUCCCAGCCACUUUCUCUGAUCUUGCUUUGCUCGAUCUGCUGUACUACUUGCUGCGGUUUGCCCUGGUAAGCUCCAUGCCACACUGGCAUCAGGAGAUCAAGUGAUUGUUGCAAUUUCUUUCUUUCUAUUCUCUUGAGUUGAUAAACUUAUGCCUGGCUUUCCUGCAGCAUAUCGAUACAUUGUGUCCAUUACUGUUGGCCCGCAGAAGUUGUCCUGCAGAGUGUUGAGGCAGGAAGCAGUUGGUACUAACAUAUCGCUCUCCUUCUCCAGGCCUCAGUACUCUCAUCAAUUGACCUGUGUUCAGGUAUGUUAUUUCAAUGUUCUGCAUCUGUUUUUCAGUGGUAAUUCUUCUUUUCUGAGGUAUUAUUAGAACCACAUAUUUUGUUCUUUCCCCCUUUCUGUAGGUGUAGAGGCGUGGGAUAUCUACGGUUGUUCCUUGGUGAUUGACAGAAAAAUUCUGUUACCUAUUUCCCUGCAUUGAUUUUUCCAGGCAGCUCCAUUUCAUCCCUCUUGGUUUGAGCACGUUGAGAUCUUAAUGCAGCAGUGGGUUGAUCAUCAGAGCAAGAUGCACCUGCAAGAUGAUUACAAUUGAUUUUUCUUAUUGGCUGUUUAUUUCUUGCUGAACGAAUUGCUUGUGAGGUAAGAAAUAUAAUUUUAAUUUAGGUCUUGAAUCUUAGCUUCCACAAAGUGACUGAAACAUGUAAUCACAACUGGAUAGCUAGCAUGCUAGACAUUGAUUCGUUGGCGAGAAAAUUUAUCAGACAAGGAAGAGUUAUGGCUACACCAUUCAUCAUAGAUAAAACUACAACUCUGUAGAACAUUUUCUAAGGUCAGGGAAUUUUUUUGUCAUUGAUGUAACUAAUGGAAUGAUACAUGAUAUAUUAUAAUUAGGAUGCUAGGCAGCUGCCGAUUUUUACAUACACGAUGUAUUGCCCUUCUCUGCAGUUGAGCAGACAAAUAAACGUUGUUAUCAUACAAAACCGAAAUAAAUGUUAAUUUUUACAUGGACAAAUGGGUUGCCCACAUUUUGUGGAAACUUAUACCUAUUUCAUAGUAUAUGUUUCUUUUUUUCCUUCAAAAUGGAAGCUUUAUUACCCAGAACAAAUAGUGUUUGUUUGCUUCUAAUAUUUUCCAAACUAGUAUGAGAAAUCAAUUACUGUAAGUGAUAUCUGAUCGAGCAAUACUGCUAUAGAAUAAGUUAUAACUGUGCAAACUACUUGAGGUUAUGUAUGUAUGAUACCAUGUAACUUUCUAGAUACAUGGUAAUAAAUGUCACUACGCAAACACGCAUUAAAUAGGAAACCUGCUAGCUAACUCAGGAGUUGACCUUCAAUACCUCACCAUGCUAUUGAAUUUGUCGAACACCAGGAUGGACCUACCAGCAUACAUACAAAGCAAAUUAUUGGGGCAGCAUAGCUGAUUAGCUCAGUAUCUGAACGUACUGAAUAUCUUAAUCCAAAAUAAAUAGAGAUAUAUGUUGAUGUCUUUAACCCUAAUAUAAAUUUCAUUUAUGUUGCAUAGUUUUUAAACCAUCUUAACAUAUAUUAUACAUUCAUUGGCAGGCAGCAAAUUUGCAGUUUUCUGGAGCAAGACCCACGCUUACUGCUUCGGCGGAUCUCCCUCCUCAAGUUCAUCUGAUGGCAUCUGUAUUAGAUCCUUUGGUUGGAUCAUGCAUCACAAAGUUGCAAGAAAUCAUUGCAGAUAAGGCAGUGCUAAUUCUUGGUGUAAAAGAUGAACUAAAAAAACUGCAAGGAACAAUGAAACAAAUACGAUGCUUUCUAGAUGAUGCUGAGCAAAGGAGGAUAAAGGAGUCAGCAGUUAACAAUUGGCUUAGUGAUCUAAGAGAUGCUAUGUAUGAUGCUGAUGACAUUGUUGACUCAGCUAGAUUCGAAGGAAGCAAGUUACUGAAAGAUCGCCCAUCAUCACCCGCAAGAAACUCAACUGCAUGUUGUGGCAUUUCGUUUUUAUCUUGCUUUCCUGUUAUUCAGAAGCGUCAUGAAAUUGCUGUCAAGAUCAGAGACCUGAACGACAGAGUUGAGAAGCUCUCAAAGCAUGGAAAUAGUUUUCUACAUCUUGGUGCCGGACCUACUGGCCAAGGUUCAACAUCGAAAGUCAGAGAAACUUCCAAGCUUGUACAACCCAACCUUGUGGGAAAGGAGAUUAUGCAUUCUAGCAAGAAAUUGGUGGAUUUAGUCCUUGCAGGCAAGGAACGGAAGGAUUAUAAGCUCGCUAUUGUUGGAACUGGAGGAGUUGGUAAGACAACACUAGCUCAGAAAAUAUACAAUGACAAAAAAAUAAAACCAGACUUUCAGAAACAAGCAUGGGUUUGUGUUUCUCAAGAGUGUAAUGAAGCUAAUCUUCUAAAGGAGAUUCUCCGCAAUAUUGGAGUGUAUCAAGAUCAAGGUGAAACCAUAGCUGAACUCCAGAACAGGAUUGCAGAAACAAUUGAAGGCAAGAGUUUCUUUCUUGUUCUAGAUGAUGUGUGGAAGUCUAGUGUGAUUGAUCUAUUAGAGGCUCCAAUAUAUGUCGUAGCUUCAUCAGUAAUUUUGGUUACCACACGAGAUGAUAGAAUCGCAAUGGAUAUCCAUGCAGCGCAUACCCAUCGAGUUAACCUUAUGUCAGAAGAGGUGGGGUGGGAGCUACUUUGGAAGAGCAUGAGCAUAAUUGAAGAGAAAGAAGUGCAGAAUCUGAGAAACACGGGCAUUGAGAUUAUUAAAAAAUGUGGUUACCUCCCCCUAGCAAUCAAGGUCAUAGCUCGUGUUUUGACAAGCAAAGAUCAAACAGAGAACGAGUGGAAAAAGAUUUUGAGCAAAAUCAGUGCUUGGUCUGAGAGCAAACUUCACGAUGAUAUAGGAGGAGCUUUAUAUCUGAGCUAUAAUGAGUUACCACAUCAUCUGAAGCAAUGUUUCCUUUAUUGUGCAUUGUAUCCUGAAGAUUCUACCAUCAGUUGUAUCAUAAUUUUCAGUUCAUUUUGCGGUACUUUACAUUUCACCUGAUUUGACUUUUCUGAUUUUUGCAGUUUAUGUUUGGACGGGUAUCAAAUUGUGUGUUACUUUAUGGUUUCACACGUGAAUCUCAAGGUGCUGAUACUGACGAAUUCUCCUAAAGCAGCGUUGGUUCUUGCAAAUGGUUUCAUCGGAGCAGAGCCAACACUCCAACAGCAUCAUAUGGGGAUUUUUUUUAUUGGCGACUCUGUAGACUGCUAUCUAGUCUGCAUAUUUUUGCAGCCAAUUGAAAGCCUUGAGCUUGUUAUUGACUGACCGGUAUUUUUUGAUGACCCGACAGCUCACGUAUAGGUCGGCCGACUGACCUGCUCGCGAGCUGAACCUUAUUUCCAAGUAUUGACAUAAUGUCAUGUACAGACGACCUGUCCGACUUGAUUAUGAACUAUCACUAAACUUGUUUU